rnacentral:rRNA from 1 species
AAACCAACAGGGAUUGCCUCAGUAACGGCGAGUGAAGCGGCAAAAGCUCAAAUUUGAAAUCUAGCACCUUCGGUGUUCGAGUUGUAAUUUGAAGAUGGUAACCUUGGGUUUGGCUCUUGUCUAUGUUCCUUGGAACAGGACGUCAUAGAGGGUGAGAAUCCCGUCUGAUGAGAUGCCCAUUCCUAUGUAAGGUGCUAUCGAAGAGUCGAGUUGUUUGGGAAUGCAGCUCUAAGUGGGUGGUAAAUUCCAUCUAAAGCUAAAUAUUGGCGAGAGACCGAUAGCGAACAAGUACAGUGAUGGAAAGAUGAAAAGAACUUUGAAAAGAGAGUGAAAAAGUACGUGAAAUUGUUGAAAGGGAAGGGCAUUAGAUCAGACUUGGUGUUUUACGAUUAUCUUCUCUUCUUGAGUUGUGCACUCGUAUUUCACUGGGCCAGCAUCGAUUCGGAUGGCAAGAUAAUGGCAGUUGAAUGUGGCUUCACUUCGGUGGAGUGUUAUAGCUUCUGCUGAUAUUGCCUGUCUGGAUCGAGGGCUGCGUCUUUUGACUAGGAUGCUGGCGUAAUGAUCUAAUGCCGC